rnacentral:ribozyme from 11 species
GUUUACUUGUUUAUUUGUUCGUUUGUUUCUUUGUCUUUUUUAUUGCACUGUCAGCGUCUCUCCCUGCGUGUUUUUUUCUUCCUCUUCAAAACAGGCAAGAAGGAAU